GACCUCGUGGCGCAAUGGUAGCGCGUCUAACUCCAGAUCAGAAGGUUGCGUGUUCAAAUCACGCCGGGGUCC
rnacentral:tRNA from 2 species